rnacentral:rRNA from 1 species
UACGUAGGGGGCGAGCGUUAUCCAGAUCUACUGGGCGUAAAGGGCUCGUAGGUGGCCAACUAAGUCAGACGUGAAAUCCCUCGGCUUAACCGGGGAACUGCGUCUGAUACUGGAUGGCUUGAGUUUGGGAGAGGGACGCGGAAUUCCAGGUGUAGCGGUGAAAUGCGUAGAUAUCUGGAGGAACACCGGUGGCGAAGGCGGCGUCCUGGACCAACACUGACACUGAGGAGCGAAAGCCAGGGGAGCAAACGGG